GUUCAGGUCAUGAGUCGAAUGGAUGCCACCUUCAGCCGAAGAGCCACAGCGCUGGCAGAACUCCCCUCCAUAGCCACAGUGAAGGAGAUUUUCCCGUAUCUCAUGGAUUCCGCAAGGUUUUGUAGGGAAUACCAAAGACUUCAGGGUGAGGACCCUCUAUGUGGUACAUCAUCUGGAUUAAAGAAGAUCGGGGAGCUUGCUGUGUCACGAAGAAUAAAAUGCGAAGAGGACCUCCUCCAGAAAAUAGAGGAAGCACACUCCCUCUCAUGCGGUGAAACACGUCGGAACCCCUACAGAAAUCAGAAGUGGGAUCGACUCGCCAUUUUCAUCAUCAGCCCAGGCGAAAAUUUGAGCUGGGAAGUCAACUGGUACAGCUUGG